AAAUGUGAAGGAAGCAGAGCUUGGUGGAUACAGAAAGGAUUCCAUCUAUCUGUGGUUCCUUGACUUCAGACACACCACUGAGAACUAUAAACACCCCAUCUGCCUCACUCCAGAAAAGGAAGCGUCCAGGAAGCAGACGGGGUCCAGCCUGAGCAGCGAGCAGCGAGCAGCGGGCAGGCGGGAAAGGUGCUUGGUUCCCGGUUAGGUAUGAACUGGGAGGGGCGCCCAGCUGCGCUUCCCUCCCCGGCCGCUAGGGGCCGCUGCCCCGCUGCUCUGCGGCCUCCAGGGAAGCCAGUGCCGUGUUGUAAGCUGCCCUGUGAAGAAGCCCACAUGGCGAGAAACUGAAGGAGGAGGAGCGGACCAACAGCCAGUGAGGGACUGAAUCCCGCCAGUAACUCAUGAGCCUGGCAGCAGAUCUUCCCCAGUCGAGCCUUCAGAGGAGACCAUGGCCCCAUCCACCAUCUUGGUUGCAGCUCUAUGAGAGACUCUGAGCCAGAGAUACCCCGCUAAGGCCAUACCUGGAUUCCUGACCCGCAGAAACUGUGAAGGAAUGCGUGUGUAUCAUUUUAAGCCACUAGGUUUUGGGGGUAAUUUGUUAUAGUGUGAUAAAUUACUGGAGAUGCUGAGUGCCAUAGGAAUGUGGGGAGGGCAGGGAUUGGUAAACCGCCUACUAGGUUGCUUUAGAUUCUCAUCUCUUUCUCGUGCCUCACAUCCAGUCCACUAACAAUCCCUGUCAACUUCACCUCCCAACCAAACCCGAAUCCAUAUACUUUUCCCCACCUGCACGGCUACCAGUUCAUAUCAAGUUAUCCUCAUCUCUCACUUCCAUUUAAGCCAGGGACACCCUUCCCCACCAAUCUCCAUCCAGCUGGUUCUCCACAGUCAGGGACGGCUUUCCAAUCAGUCAUAAAUCAGAUGAUGGCAUGCAGUAGGUGCUUGAUAAUGAUAGAGGGAAUUCAGGUAUCGAGUCAGGCUAGACUGGGUCUCUCUCCUAACCCUUAGGUCAUCCCCUUGCUCUUCUGGCACCGGCAUAAGGAAGGGAGUCACAUAAGAGGAAGGUUGUUAGGCCACCAGCACUGACCUUCAGGCCCUGGGACGCAGCUCCCUGGCCUCCCUUCUUCUUCCGUGUCCAGUCAUGGAGCCUACACUCAUUAAGCACUUACUGUAUGCCCCUGACUUCUAAGUACCUGACAGGUAUCAUCUCAUUUAAU